GACAGAGGCCUCAAGCGUUAGGCGGAAUCACUGGGCUUAAAGCGUGUGUAGGCGGAUCGUUAAGUGUCUUGUGAAAUCCCACGGCUCACCCGUGGAACUGCUGGGCAUACUGGCGAUCUUGGGCCAACUAGGGGCAACUGGAACAAGCGGUGGAGCGGUGAAAUGCGUAGAUAUCGCUUGGAACGCCAAAGGUGAAAACGGGUUGCUGGGGUUGUGCCGACGCUGAGACACGAAAGCCAGGGGAGCAAACGGG
rnacentral:rRNA from 1 species